rnacentral:rRNA from 1 species
UUUCUCCCUUCUGACGAACCAUGAUGUCAUUUAUUUGGUGUUGUGGGGAAUCAGGACUGUUACUUUGAAAAAAUUAGAGUGUUUAAAGCAGGCUCACGCUUGAAUACAUUAGCAUGGAAUAAUGAAAUAGGACGUUUGAUUCUAUUUUGUUGGUUUCUAGGAUUGACGUAAUGAUUAAUAGGGAUAGUUGGGGGCAUUAGUAUUCAAUUGUCAGAGGUGAAAUUCUUGGAUUUAUUGAAGACUAACUACUGCGAAAGCAUUUGCCAAGGAUGUUUUCAUUAAUCAAGAACGAAAGUUAGGGGAUCGAAGACGAUCAGAUACCGUCGUAGUCUUAACCAUAAACUAUGCCGACUAGGGAUCGGAUGAUGUUAAUUUUUUAAUGACUCAUUCGG